rnacentral:snRNA from 1 species
NGGCGAUCUGGAUACUACAUCUGUCCCCCCAUUGAUUGCCAGAGUUGAUUCCACUGAUCUGGUUGGUGUCCCCUUUCCCCCUCACUCCUCCGUGUGCGUCCCGUCCCUCCUGAGAGUGCACUCAAUGGAAGAGGAUAGCCUUCCUGGAUUAGAGAUGACCAGAUGACCAGUCUUUGGUCAAGGGUAUAUGAGUAGCUGCUUGCUAGAUCCUCCAAACAAAAACACUGACUAAAUCCCUGGCACCGCACGCACAUGGUCCUCCAG